UACGAGUUAACUCUGCUUGAUUAUACGUUUGAAGAACAUAACCUCCAAGACCUGCAGUAAAAAUUUGAAUAACAUGAAGGAAGCCUUAAUAUAGUAGAUUUAACGCAAUGUAUGCAGACUACAGUUUAGCUAUUAGAAGGAAUGAACAUUUUUUAAGCAUAGAAGAAGAUGAUCACAAGUGCCUAUGAACAUACACGCAAUAAUCAGCCAGUAUCAGUUGACUCGCAUACAACGCGUUAAAAUCCGUAUUUACCAACACAAUUAUCGUCACAAAAGAUGACCAUCUGGAAUAAUACUAUUUCCUCUAUCACCAAAGAUAAAUUCCUCUGUUGCCACAGGGCACACGAUGGGAGUAGAUAUGCCAUCCAUAAUGGUCCUUCCUCACCGACAGAUAACGAGACAGCU